rnacentral:rRNA from 1 species
AACUUUGGAUAAUGGGUGAAACCCUGAUCCAGCCAUCCCCCGUGUAUGAUGAAGGCCUUCGUGUUGUAAAGUACGUUUGGCAGAGAAGAAAAGGUAUCUCCUAAUACGAGAUACUGCUGACGUUAUCUGCAGAAACAUCACCGCCUAACUACGCGCCAGCAGCUGCGGUAAGACGAAGGGUGCAAGGGUUAAUCUGAAUUACUGGGGCGAAAGCGUGUGUAGGCGGGUCGGAAAGAAAGAUGUGGAAACCCAGGGGUCAAACUUGGAACUGCGUUUUUAAAUGGCGAGCUUGGGUAUGUCAGAGGGGGGUAGAAUUCCAAGUGUAGGAGUGAAAUGCGUAGAUAUGUGGGGGAAUAACGAUGGCGAAGGCAGCCCCCUGGGAUAAUACUGACGCUCAGACACGAAAGCGUGGGGAGCAAACA